ACAACGUGGCGUAGUGGUUUGAGUGAUGGACUGUGACUCUGGAGACCAGGGUUCAAUUCCCUGCUUGAA
rnacentral:tRNA from 1 species